AUUUGGACGAGACGGUGGAGCUGUCAGCCGUGUGUGGAGCUAGCUAGCUUGCUUAACAAGGGGUACAUUAAUAAUCCCUAAUAUAUGUGGAAGAAAUUCAAGUUGUGAACGAGCCCACAAGAAGUGUAACCAAACCUGCUACUGCCAACAAGGAGAACAUGCUCAAAGCCGCUUCAGACUCUGACGUUUGAUGCGACCCUUUAUUGCACCUCAGAGGUUGGACUGGGCCACGUUUCAGGACUGACCUCAUUCACUCUCAGCGCAAGACGUAGCAUUACUGAAUCAACUGCACAGCUCAACAAGCAGAGCAUUUCGAACACUUGACAGACCUGGAUCAAAUCAACCAAGUUUGUAAAAGAAAAAUAUAUUUUGUGUCAGCUACAUGCCUUAUUUUAAUUUCAAUAUUUGUGUAAAACAAAACUGUUUAAUAAAAAGCAUC